rnacentral:rRNA from 1 species
CAGUAGCCGCGGUAAUACAGAGGAUGCAAGCGUUAUCCGGAAUUAUUGGGCGUAAAGCGCGCGCAGGCGGAUAGGUCAGCCUGUCUUAAAAGUUCGGGGCUUAACCCCGUGAUGGGAUGGAAACUGCCAAUCUAGAGUAUCGGAGAGGAAAGUGGAAUUCCUAGUGUAGCGGUGAAAUGCGUAGAUAUUAGGAAGAACACCAGUGGCGAAGGCGACUUUCUGGACGAAAACUGACGCUGAGGCGCGAAAGCCAGGGGAGCGAACGGGAUUAGAUACCCCUGUAGUCCCUGUCUCUUAUACA